CCUUCUCCUCCUGCCCCCAGUCCCUCCCAGCAUCACAGUCUUUUCCAAUGAGUCAACUCUUCGCAUGAAGUGGCCAACGUACCGGAGUUUCAGCUUUAGCAUCAUUCCUUCCAAAGAACACCCAGGAGUAUCAGCCUCUAAACACUGGCUUCUGGGGUGGAUUUCCUUUGGGGGAACCAACAGUCGUGUUUGAUCCUACUUCAUGGCUGGAAUGGGGCAAGAACAGAAGUGGCCCUGAGAGGACAGGCACAUCCAUUUCCUAACUCUGACGGACCAGUAAAAAUCACUGAAACGUGGCAGCCAUCUUUGUCUCCCCCUCACUCGCCCCGCUUCAUCCGUGAAAAGUCCAGUUGCUGUGGAUUCUGCGUCUCCAGUCUCCCAAAAAUCUGACAAGAACCUGCAGCUGCACUGGUUAUAGUCUCAGACUGUGAUUCCCCAGCCAGGUGCCAGGACAAUGGCUAUCUAUUAAUAUCCUAUGCCAGCUGUUACCUCAACAUGUGGGAUGCCCAGGCAUUGGGGAGAAAGACUCGAUUUUGUCUGCGGCCUCCCCUUACAUUUUUGUUAUUUACCGAAUUUAAUCUUCAAAACAAGCCUGGAGGCAUUACUGUCCACAUGUUUGCAAAUGAGGACACAGGCUGAAGGAGGAAGAGCUGAGACACUCAAUAUUCCAGGAGCCAAACUUGAGAUCUCAGAGUCAGAUAUAAACUUAGUUUUUCAAGAAAACUACAUGGAAAAUUACUGUUGACUAUUGCUCAUCUGGGGAGCCCAAACUUACUGAUAGUGAGGAAACUACCCCAGCGGAUUCUCUACCACCAACAUCAUCUGGGAAGCCCACAUCAUCAUAAAAUGGGAAAAUUUGGACACAAACACUGUCACACAAGGUGAACGCCAUGUGAAGAUCAAAAUCAGGGUCCUGCAUCUGCAAGUCCAGAGAGGUAUCAACCUGACUCUUCGUACUAUGAGACUGAAGAACAGCAGUAAAGUUCUCAGAUCAGGAUCUGAUCCCACCGGCUCAACUACUCAACCACUGGGAAGACGCUACCAUGCGGAUGGAUACUGUCAGUGGGCUCCCCCUGCUGGAAGAGUCAAUGAUAUACUCAAACUGCUCUCUGGCUGUAUUUUUACCUGUGUCUCCAGGUACAGUUGGAGAAGACUCCUGAGAGUCCCUUGGACUGCAAGGAGAUCCAACCAGUCCAGUCUAAAGGAGAUCAGCCCUGGGUAUUCUUUGGAAGGAAUAAUGCUAAAGCUGAAACUCCAGUACUCUGGCCAACUCAUGCGAAG
ensembl:lncRNA